UAUCCACGGAGUGAAGUUAAGAUGGCGCUAAAUGGCGACUCCUUUGCUUGUAUCUUCGGAAACAUCUCUAUUUUCAUCUUUAAUAUCUUUAUUUUUCUCUUUCAGGAUUCUUCUGGAGUUACACGCCCACUUCAGUUCUUGGCGGGAAUGAGACCCGUUCUCAGGGUUUCAGGACUGGCCGAUGUUUGGCACGCCAAGGGUUCGGCCUGAGAGCCUGGCUCAGAUUUGGAAGCCUAAGAGCUUGGGGCUCUGGAGACGGGCAGAUCGAGGGUCAGUGUCAUGGCUGGAAACCCAUGAGCUGUCAGGGGAGUCUGAAAGAUCUAUUGCUGUGUGCCCGGGAUCUUAGCGAUUUUUGAGAAUAGAGCUCAGAGGAAGCAAUGUAACGGACUUUUAACAUCGUAAACCAAUGUUUGUGAAGAGAAAGCAUUUCAGGUAUAUUUCAGGCAGAAGAUACCAAAGUCUGAAGGGAUGUAUCACUGGAUUCAAGGACAGCUUCUACUCUGCUGUUAUAAGAACUUUGAACAGUUCCCUAGU